AUGGACGCCUCGUCGCCUUUUGCAUUGUUGCAUUCACCCCUGCUCCUCCUCACCCUGCUCGUGCCGAUCUUCGUCUCUUUCCUCCUCUUCCUCACCGAGAAGCCUGGUCCAUCCCGCAGCAAUGGCGGCGCGCGCCUGCCUCCGUCGCCAUGGGGCAUUCCCGUCCUUGGCCACCUCCCUCUUCUCGGUUCCCUGCCGCACCGGAAGCUCCGGUCCCUGGCCGAGGCGCACGGCCCCGUCAUGCUCCUGCGCCUCGGCGGCGUGCCCACCGUCGUGGCCUCCUCGGCGGACGCGGCGCUGGAGGUCAUGAAGACCCACGACCUGGCCUUCGCCAGCCGCCCCGCGGUGCGCAUGGCGGAGCGCCUCCUGUACGGCCGCGACAUGGCCUUCGCCCCCUACGGGCAGUACUGGCGGCAGGCGCGCCGCGUGUGCGUGCUCCACCUCCUCAGCGCCCGCCGCGUGGCCUCCUUCCGCCGCGUCCGGGAGCAGGAGGCCGGCGCCCUGGUCGACCGCGUCCAGCGCGCUGCCGCCUGCUGCUCGCGGCCCGAGGAUAACGUCGUGAACCUGACCGACGAGCUCAUAUCCUACACCAGCGCCGUCAUCUCGCGGGCCGCGUUCGGCGACGAUGGCGGGUACGGGAUCGACGACGACCUGACGGAGGUGUUCGCCGAGUUCGAGGAGCUGCUGGGCUCGGCCACGGUGGGGGAGUUCGUCCCGUGGCUGGCGUGGGUGGAUACGCUCAUGGGGCUGGACGCCAAGGUGGCACGGGCGCGCAAGGUGAUGGACGGGCUCCUCGAGCGGGUCAUCUCCGACCACCGCCAGCGGCGUCUCGGCAGAGGACGGCGGCUCGUUGGCGACGGGGAGGACGAUCACCGGGACUUCGUGGACGUGCUGCUGGACGUCAGCGAGGACGAUGGAGAAGACUCCGGGGGUGUCCGGUUCGACACGGUCGGCAUCAAGGCCAUUAUCCUGGACAUGUUCGCCGCGGCCACCGACACGACCUACACGACUCUGACAUGGGCCGUGGCGGAGCUCAUCAACAACCCAUCCGAGAUGCACAAGCUCCAGGACGAGGUUUGCGCGGCCGUCAAUGGCGCCGGCCACGUCACCGAGGACCACCUCGAGAAGAUGAGCUACCUGAGGGCCGUGAUCAGGGAGACGCUCCGGCUGCACGCGCCCCUGCCGCUCCUCCUGCCCCGGGAGACGCUGGAGGACACGGAGCUGCUGGGCUACCGCGUCCCGGCGCGGACGCGCGUGGUGAUCAACGCGUGGGCCAUCGGCCGCGACCCGGCGACGUGGGAGCGCGCCGAGGAGUUCGUCCCGGCGAGGUUCGCGGAUGGCCCGGCGGAGUACGUCCUGGGGCAGGACUUCAGGUUCGUGCCCUUCGGCGCCGGAAGGAGGGGCUGCCCCGGCGUCGGCUUCGCCGUGCCGUCGAUCGACCUGGCGCUCGCCAGCCUGCUGUACCAUUUCGACUGGGAGCUGCCGGCGGCGGCGGCCGGGGCGAAGCUGGACAUGAGCGAGCUGUAUGGGUUGUCCGUCCGGCUCAAGGCCACGCUGCAUCUGGUUGCUAAGCCGUGGACCCGUGGUCUCCUUGAGCUGCACCUGCCACUGUGGACACGACUUUGGGAUUGCUUGAAGAAACAGAAAUGA
rnacentral:rRNA from 1 species